AUCGUUCAUCUAUUAUAGACGGAAGUAGGUAUACACCGAAGGAACGCACC
rnacentral:ncRNA from 10 species